UUGUUUCUGCUCCAAGGAGGGUAAUAGUCAACUCUACCUCUCCAUUCAGUGUUUUCAGGACUAUGCUGUAGAUGCAAGACAGAUGAAGAGAGCUGGAGAAGUCUGUUCCCAAAGGUGCUCAAAAUCCAAGUGCUCACAGCUGAUGAGGCAAACCUGGGAAGUGGAGAGAACAAUGAUAAUAUUUGAGAAAACAUUUUGCUGGACCAAGUCUGUUUCAGCCCAGAAAUAGCAGAGUCCUAUGUGCAUGUAGCAUACCUGCACACAAGAAUAAGAUAUCUAUUAUAAGCCCCUAUUUCAAAUAAAUAACUGUCAGUAAGGAAUAAGAUUGCUUGUGGUAAUAAAAUAACCAUUUGACAGUU